GAGUUUGAUCGUGGCUCAGGAUGAACGCUGGCGGCGUGCCUAAUACAUGCAAGUCGAACGAACAGAUAAGGAGCUUGCUCCUUUGACGUUAGCGGCGGACGGGUGAGUAACACGUGGGUAACCUACCUAUAAGACUGGGAAUAACUCCGGGAAACCGGGGCUAAUGCCGGAUAACAUGUUGAACCGCAUGGUUCUACAGUGAAAGACGGUCUUGCUGUCACUUAUAGAUGGACCCGCGCCGUAUUAGCUAGUUGGUGGGGUAACGGCCUACCAAGGCGACGAUACGUAGCCGACCUGAGAGGGUGAUCGGCCACACCGGAACUGAGACACGGUCCAGACUCCUACGGGAGGCAGCAGUAGGGAAUCUUCCGCAAUGGGCGGAAAGCCUGACGGAGCAACGCCGCGUGAGUGAUGAAGGUCUUCGGAUCGUAAAGCUCUGUUGUUAGGGAAGAACAAAUGUGUAAGUAACUGUGCAUAUACUUGACGGUACCUAACCAGAAAGCCACGGCUAACUACGUGACAGACCG
rnacentral:rRNA from 1 species